GAUGAACGCUAGCGGCAGGCUUAAUACAUGCAAGUCGAACGGUAACAGGCCCGGCAACGGGUGCUGACGAGUGGCGCACGGGUGCGUAACACGUAUGCAACCUACCCUUAACCGGGACAUAACACUGAGAAAUUAGUGCUAAUAUUCCAUGGUAUUACGAAGAGGCAUCUUUUUGUAAUUAAAGAUUUAUUGGUUAGGGAUGGGCAUGCGUCCCAUUAGUUAGUUGGAGUGGUAACGGCACACCAAGACGAUGAUGGGUAGGGGUCCUGAGAGGGUUAUCCCCCACACUGGUACUGAGACACGGACCAGACUCCUACGGGAGGCAGCAGUAAGGAAUAUUGGGCAAUGGGCGGGAGCCUGACCCAGCCAUGCCGCGUGCAGGAAGACGGCCCUAUGGGUUGUAAACUGCUUUUGUUUGGGACUAACAGCCGGGUCGUGACCCUGCCUGCGGGUACCGAAUGAAUAAGUAUCGGCUAACUCCGUGCCAGCAGCCGCGGUAAUAC
rnacentral:rRNA from 1 species